rnacentral:rRNA from 1 species
CUAACGCGUUAAGUCUACCGCCUGGGGAGUACGUCCGCAAGAGUUAAACUCAAAUGAAUUGACGGGGGCCCGCACAAGCGGUGGAGCAUGUGGUUUAAUUCGAUGCAACGCGAAGAACCUUACCUCCUCUUGACAUCCAGCGAACUUCGCAGAGAUAGCUUGGUGCCUUCGGGAACGCUGAGACAGAUGCUGCAUGGCUGUCGUCAGCUCGUGUUGUGAAAUGUUGGGUUAAGUCCCGCAACGAGCGCAACCCUUAUCCUUCAUUGCCAGCGAUUCGGUCGGGAACUCAAAGAAGCCGCCCGGUAAUAAACCGGAGGAAGGUGGGGAUAACGUCAAGUCAUCAGGGCCUUUACGAGUAGGGCUACACACUUGUUACAAGGGCGCAUACAAAGUGAAGCGACCUAUCGAGAGCAACCGGACCUAAUAAAAUGCGUUCUAGUCCGGUUCGGAGUUUGCAACUCGACUCCCUGAAGUCGGAAUCCUUCGUAUUCGCGGACAUGAAUGCCACGGUGAAUACGUUCCCGGUCCUGUA